CCACCUCAGCCCCUGCCCAAACCUGGCCCAGGCUGUGCCCCCACAGUGCCAUGUCCUGCCCGCCAGGCCCACAGCUGACUGUGCCCCCACAGUGCCACGUCCUGCCCGCCAGGCCCACAGCUGACCAUGCCCCCACAGUGCCAGGCCCACAGCUGACUGUGCCCCCACAGUGCCACGUCCUGCCCGCCAGGCCCACAGCUGACCGUGCCCACACAGUGCCACGCCCACAGCUGACUGUGCCCACACAGUGCCACGUCCUGCCCGCCAGGCCCACAGCACACAGCCCUGGGGGCUCCAAGCAUGGAGACCCCCCAGGUAAAGGAGUCCUG